GACGAACGCUGGCGGCGUGCUUAACACAUGCAAGUGGAGCGACGAACCAGGCUUCGGCCUGGGGCAAAGCCGCGAACGGGUGAGUAUCACGUGGGUAACGUGCCCCGAUGACCGGGACAACCCGAGGAAACUCGGGCUAAUACCGGAUGUGCUGGACGGCCGCAAGGCUGUUCAGUAAAGGAAGCUUCGGCCUCCGCAUUGGGAGCGGCCCGCGGCCCAUUAGCUUGUUGGUGAGGUAACGGCUCACCAAGGCAACGAUGGGUAGCUGGUCUGAGAGGACGAUCAGCCACACUGGGACUGAGACACGGCCCAGACUCCUACGGGUGGCAG
rnacentral:rRNA from 1 species